rnacentral:rRNA from 1 species
GGAUACACCCGUUCCCAUGCCGAACACGGAAGUUAAGCUUCGUCGCGCCAAGAGUAGUUGGGGGAUCGCUCCCUGCGAGGGUAGGUCGUCGCCAUGC